rnacentral:piRNA from 1 species
UGUUUUUCUUGUACAAGUCAACCCUAACAA